UCACCGCUUCCCAUAUGAUCAGCGAAGUUAAGCAACGUUGUGCCUUGUCAGUACCUACAUGGGUGAACACGUGAAAAUACCAGGUGCUGGAA